AUUGAACGCUGGCGGCAGGCCUAACACAUGCAAGUCGAACGGUAACAGGAAGAAGCUUGCUUCUUUGCUGACGAGUGGCGGACGGGUGAGUAAUGUAUGGGAAACUGCCUGAUGGAGGGGGAUAACUACUGGAAACGGUAGCUAAUACCGCAUAACGUCGCAAGACCAAAGAGGGGGACCUUCGGGCCUCUUGCCAUCGGAUGUGCCCAGAUGGGAUUAGCUAGUAGGUGGGGUAACGGCUCACCUAGGCGACGAUCCCUAGCUGGUCUGAGAGGAUGACCAGCCACACUGGAACUGAGACACGGUCCAGACUCCUACGGGAGGCAGCAGUGGGGAAUAUUGCACAAUGGGCGCAAGCCUGAUGCAGCCAUGCCGCGUGUAUGAAGAAGGCCUUCGGGUUGUAAAGUACUUUCAGCGGGGAGGAAGGGAGUAAAGUUAAUACCUUUGCUCAUUGACGUUACCCGCAGAAGAAGCACCGGCUAACUCCGUG
rnacentral:rRNA from 1 species